GCCCCCAUCGUCUAGCGGUCCAGGACAUCGCCCUCUCACGGCGCAAACAGCGGUUCAAAUCCGCUUGGGGGUACCA
rnacentral:tRNA from 1 species